rnacentral:rRNA from 1 species
AUUGAACGCUGGCGGCAGGCCUAACACAUGCAAGUCGAGCGGAUGAAGGUAGCUUGCUCCUUGAUUCAGCGUCGGACGGGUGAGUAAUGCCUAUGAAUCUGCCUGGUAGUUGGUUAUAACGUCCGGAAACGGGCGCUAAUACCGCAUACGUCCUUUGGUAGAAAGUGGGUGAUCUUCGGACCUCACGCUAUCAGCUGACCCUAUGUCGGAUUAGCUAGUUGGUGUGGUAAAGGCCUACCAAGGCGACGAUCCGUAACUGGUCUGAGAGGAUGAUCAGUCACACUGGAACUGAGACACGGUACAGAAUACUACGGGAGGCAGCAGUGGGGAAUAUUGGACAAUGGGCGAAAGCCUGAUACAGCAAUGCCGCGUGUGUGAAGAAGGUCUAAGGAUUGUAAAGAACUUUAAGUUGGGAGGAAGGGAAGUAAGUUAAUACCUUGCUGUAUUGACGUUAACAAAAGAAUAAGCACCGGCUAACUUCGUG